rnacentral:sRNA from 1 species
GGGUUUAUUUAUUUCCAGAUAAUAUGAAUGGAAAUCAAAAAAAAUGAGCCUGUCGACAUCAAACAGGCUCCAUAGUACACAGCAGUGCGUCCGGGGCUUAUUUCCUGUACUAUUUCCUGUGUGCCAGGUUGACUAAGGUAUAGCAACGAAAAAUUAAAAUGAAUAAUUAAUUUGAGUGAUUAAAUUCA